rnacentral:misc_RNA from 1 species
CUUUGAGGCUGGUCAGGGAAAGACUCCUCUUGGAGCUCUUGGUUUGUAAAAUUUAUAAGAGAAAACUAUAUCAAUUAUGAAUGUAGAUAUAGUGUUUAAUUUGGAUGAAAAGAGGAAGAAAAUGUUAUCUGAGAGUCAUGACUUCCCUCAGUGAUAAAUUCAACAUUCUUUUGGCUUUGGCUUGGAUUUUGUAGUUGUUAUUUUAAUUCUGACUUGAGGCAUAAGCCAUGCAAUAUUUAAACCAGUAAGGAAUUGAGAAGGACCAUUAGAAGAUUACUUCCAUCUCAUGGAAAUUCAACGUACUGUUCACAUACCAGUUUUGCAAUUUCUAAAAAGUCUGCAAAACCAUUUGGCUUUUUUCAAGAAUCCAG